UGCUGAACUGCUCUGUUGUUUCAAUUUAGCGCGAAACGGGCUCGCUCCUUCCGGAGUCGUAGACAAACGCGGGAGAAUUCUUAAAGUUCUCUGUGAUUCAUUUAUGAAGAACAAAUUCAGAAACCAUCUAAGAUGAUGUGGAGACUGGUACCCAUCUUACCGAUUGGUGUAAUUGAGCUCCUCAAGCCUCAACAUCAGUCCAGUGGCAAGAAGAAAGCCGUCACUAAAAGGUCACAAGAAACUGCCUCCAUUGUGAAAAGUGUGCAGACAAAGAUGUGUGGCGU